CGUGCAGGCGGUGUGGGAAGUCGGACGUGAAAGCUCCUGGCUCAACUGGGAGAGGCCGUUCGAAACUCCCAUACUAGAGGACGGUAGAGGCGAGUGGAAUUCCCGGUGUAGUGGUGAAAUGCGUAGAUAUCGGGAGGAACAUCAGAGGCGAAAGCGGCUCGCUGGGCCGGUUCUGACGCUGAGAUGCGAAAGCUAGGGGAGAGAACG
rnacentral:rRNA from 1 species